UCAUACGGAGGAUCCAAGCGUUAUCCGGAAUUACUGGGCGUAAAGAGUUGCGUAGGCGGCAUAGUAAGCAGGUAGUGAAAGCGUGUGGCUCAACCAUACUCACAUUAUCUGAACUGCUAAGCUAGAAUGUAGAAGAGGUAGCUGGAAUUCCUAGUGUAGGAGUGAAAUCCGUAGAUAUUAGGAGGAACACCAAUGGCGUAGGCAGGCUACUGGUCUAUCAUUGACGCUAAGGCACGAAAGCGUGGGGAGCAAACGGG
rnacentral:rRNA from 1 species